UGAGUGGUAAUGUGAUAUGCGUUUUCAGGUGUGUUAGUAUGGAUGGAGAUUAUUUCUGAAAUAGGAACGCUCAUGUGAACAGAGAUUGUUUUCAGAAACAGUUUUUAAAAUGAAAACGCAUUAGUGUGGACGUAGCCUGCGUGUCUUGUCAGUCAGUGUGUUGCAGAGUAUGAGAUGAAGUGGGUAACAAAGGAGAAUAUGUCACCAGGGAAAUGUAUGCAGUUUCCGUAACAGCAGGAAUUGUUGCCUGAAGAGUCGCCACGGAAGAUGUGCUCAAGUCAGGUGUGGUACCCGCUAUCUCUCUAAAAGUUUUAUUGUUACAUCUUUUCUGUCCAUCGUCCUUUUCCUCAGGUACCAUCAGACAGAUUUACUGUAGAACUCAUCAACCUCUGAUACACUGCUACUCACUUUUAAUGGUUUUUAUCGUCAGUUUUUUAAAGUAGUUUGUUUGUACUCAACGUGUCAAACACAGUAUUUGCUUAUACAGACUCAUCUGCAGUAUCGCUAGGCUACUCUGGAGACUGGUCUUCUUCUUACCGAGUGAGGCUUGUCUUUCCUGACAAUGGCAGAAUGGAUAGAUUAGCGCAAUGUUUCUACCCAUUCAGAAGUGGGACCACUGGACUUGUCCAGCAUCAAAAACACACUCCAGUGAUCUGUUAUGGCAACUCCAUGAAGCCAAGAGGACUUGUUAGAGAUACAUUUUUAAAAAGGUUAAUAUAUCCUGUUAGUUCUGUCAAAUUCCAAAAACACUGGAUCCUACAUUUCCCAUAAUGCAACUCAUAAGCAUAUUUCAUUCGGCCUGAAUUGCCAUCAGCUUUCAUAUUCCAUGUCCUCAGUUUGUAACACACGUUUUCCGUCAAAUAUUGGAAUACUCAAGCCUAAUUCAAGAUGACCCUAAUAACAUCAUCAGGGUCAUUUUCUCUGACUCUACAAAGAUCCUUAAGAGCCCCAGAAGAUGUUUCACACCUGUUUUCACAGGCUGAGUAGUGCUCUCCAUGGCGAGUAAACUUUUAUGUGUAAAAUUGAUGGACUACCCCUUUAAAAAUUUUGCCUGUGCUAUGAUGUUUGCCCCAUCUAGUGUCAUUUAUUAAUUAAUGAACAGUUUUACUGUAAAUAUCUUGUAUACAAAUUUACUGUAUAUCCCUAUGGGAAUGUUGUUAUGCAACCUGUUGAGGUGGGGAUAUCGACUGUGGUGGUUUAAGAAUGAAGCUGUUUAUACUUGGAACUGGAAUACUGCGUCAAACGUCCUUUUUUGUAGUGAGAUAAUCAAGAGUAGUCAAGUCUAGUGAACUGCUCAUCCCGUCCAACCAUGCUUCUGAUCAGGUCUGUCGUCUCAGGUUAGUGUCCCACGCUGUUUAUAUGCCACUGAUAAAACACUUUCCCUGUUGCACGAACCUUUCAAGUUUUACUGUGUAUUCAAAUGACAAUCUAGGACAUCCAGAUGGGCUUGUUAUGUAACGCUGUAUGUAGACGUAAACAUGUAGGGUGAUGUCUGACAGACGCCCACUUCAUAGCACCCAUUCCUGAAAGACCAAAAAAGUCAUGCAGUAUAUGGAAACAUUUGGUUACUGAAAAUGAUUUGAGAGUAGGCACUGUAUAUUGAUGGGCUGAAGGUCAAGUUGAGUGUGUGAGUGUGUGUAUGUAUGAGUAUGGUGAGAAAGCAUAAGUAAUAUUUAAGUGUGAGGCUAAUGAAAAGCGAUGUGACUCGAGUGCUUGCAGUUAUAAUAAACUGUAUUGACUAUAGUCCAUGUGAUGCUGUAUGUUCAUAUGUGUCGUGGCCUUCAGUGGAGCUUUUCAAAUUGGCCAGUGGGUGUAAACACUACGCUAGUGUUGUGAACAGAAGGAUCCUCAAGGAUCUCAUUGCCUGAGGUGCACUCAGCAUGGGGGAAGCAAAAACGGCAGAGGAUUUGUCAUGUUUACACGACUGCAUAGAAGA